AUUGAACGCUGGCGGCAGGCCUAACACAUGCAAGUCGAGCGGAUGAAGGGAGCUUGCUCCUGGAUUCAGCGGCGGACGGGUGAGUAAUGCCUAGGAAUCUGCCUGGUAGUGGGGGAUAACGUCCGGAAACGGGCGCUAAUACCGCAUACGUCCUGAGGGAGAAAGUGGGGGAUCUUCGGACCUCACGCUAUCAGAUGAGCCUAGGUCGGAUUAGCUAGUUGGUGGGGUAAAGGCCUACCAAGGCGACGAUCCGUAACUGGUCUGAGAGGAUGAUCAGUCACAAUGGAACUGAGACACGGUCCAGACUCCUACGGGAGGCAGCAGUGGGGAAUAUUGGACGAUGGGCGAAAGCCUGAUCCAGCCAUGCCGCGUGUGAAGAAGGUCUUCGGAUUGUAAAGCACUUUAAGUUGGGAGGAAGGGCAGUAAGUUAAUACCUUGCUGUUUUGACGUUACCAACAGAAUAAGCACCGGCUAACUUCGUG
rnacentral:rRNA from 1 species